rnacentral:rRNA from 1 species
UGGCUGGGGGUGAAAGGCCAAUCAAACCGGGAGAUAGCUGGUUCUCCCCGAAAGCUAUUUAGGUAGCGCCUCGUGAACUCAUCUUCGGGGGUAGAGCACUGUUUCGGCUAGGGGGUCAUCCCGACUUACCAACCCGAUGCAAACUACGAAUACCGAAGAAUGUUAUCACGGGAGACACACGGCGGGUGCUAACGUCCGUCGUGAAGAGGGAAACAACCCAGACCGCCAGCUAAGGUCCCAAAGUCAUGGUUAAGUGGGAAACGAUGUGGGAAGGCACAGACAGCCAGGAUGUUGGCUUAGAAGCAGCCAUCAUUUAAAGAAAGCGUAAUAGCUCACUGGUCGAGUCGGCCUGCGCGGAAGAUGUAACGGGGCUAAACCAUGCACCGAAGCUGCGGCAGCGACACUAUGUGUUGUUGGGUAGGGGAGCGUUCUGUAAGCCUGCGAAGGUGACCUGUGAGGGUUGCUGGAGGUAUCAGAAGUGCGAAUGCUGACAUAAGUAACGAUAAAGCGGGUGAAAAGCCCGCUCGCCGGAAGACCAAGGGUUCCUGUCCAACGUUAAUCGGGGCAGGGUGAGUCGACCCCUAAGGCGAGGCCGAAAGGCGUAGUCGAUGGGAAACAGGUUAAUAUUCCUGUACUUGGUGUUACUGCGAAGGGGGGACGGAGAAGGCUAUGUUAGCCGGGCGACGGUUGUCCCGGUUUAAGCAUGUAGGCUGGUUAUCCAGGCAAAUCCGGAUAAUCAAGGCUGAGGUGUGAUGACGAGGCACUACGGUGCUGAAGUAACAAAUGCCCUGCUUCCAGGAAAAGCCUCUAAGCAUCAGGUAACAUCAAAUCGUACCCCAAACCGACACAGGUGGUCAGGUAGAGAAUACCAAGGCGCUUGAGAGAACUCGGGUGAAGGAACUAGGCAAAAUGGUGCCGUAACUUCGGGAGAAGGCACGCUGGUGUGUAGGUGAAGUCCCUGCGGAUGGAGCUGAGACCAGUCGAAGAUACCAGCUGGCUGCAACUGUUUAUUAAAAACACAGCACUGUGCAAACACGAAAGUGGACGUAUACGGUGUGACGCCUGCCCGGUGCCGGAAGGUUAAUUGAUGGGGUUAUCCGUAAGGAGAAGCUCUUGAUCGAAGCCCCGGUAAACGGCGGCCGUAACUAUAACGGUCCUAAGGUAGCGAAAUUCCUUGUCGGGUAAGUUCCGACCUGCACGAAUGGCGUAAUGAUGGCCAGGCUGUCUCCACCCGAGACUCAGUGAAAUUGAACUCGCUGUGAAGAUGCAGUGUACCCGCGGCAAGACGGAAAGACCCCGUGAACCUUUACUAUAGCUUGACACUGAACAUUGAGCCUUGAUGUGUAGGAUAGGUGGGAGGCUUUGAAGCGUGGACGCCAGUCUGCGUGGAGCCAACCUUGAAAUACCACCCUUUAAUGUUUGAUGUUCUAACGUUGGCCCCU